ACAAUCCUUUUUUUUUUUUUGGAAAAACUUCAAAUACCAUUUUUGUGGUUUCACACUUUUUUAUUUUAAUACCCUAUGAUUUAAAUUGUAUCAAUUUUGUACUCUGUAGUUUCAUUUUUCUCUUUUUAUUAUUUUCUCAAUUAAUUUUUUUUCCGUUAAAUCAGUGACAAAGUUAAAACUAAAAAGUACUAAACUGAAUAUUCGAUAAACCUAAGUGGGGUAUCUGAAGUUUUUUUGUAUAUAAUUUAACGGAAUGUUAAUGGAGGAAUUAACGAAAAAAAAAAAUCACAAAAUACUAAAUUGAUACAUUUUAAGCUAUAUGGUACUAAGGGCCCGUUUGUUUUGGUGUAAGUGGAGUGAUGGAACUCAAGUUCCAUCACUUCUGUUAUUUGUUUUGAUGUAAGUGAAAAAUAUAAUGUAACUCAAGUUACAUUAGAGCUCCACUUCACCUACUCUCGACUUUCUUCUCUAAAGUGCCGAACUCGACUUUCACUACACUCAACCUCCUCUAAAAAAUUUAUUAAACAGUAAAACCUAAACUCUACUUCCUUUAUAAUGGGUUAGAAUUAUCUUAUUUAUAAUAAAUUAGAAUUAUCUUUAAGUAAUAAUAAAAAAAUUAAUUACAUAAUAGAUUAAAUUUUAUAGUGGUAAAUUUACUACUAUAUUUAGGAGAUAAUGAGAUCCACUUACUUACAUCAAAACAAACAACGGAAUUCAAAAAAUUAAUUUUACCAGCACCAAGUUACAUCAAAACAAACAACAGAAGUGAUUGAAUUUAACUUUCAGGCGUACGAGUUACGUCAAAACAAACAAUAAAAAAAUAAUCACACUCCAGAAAAACUCAAACACCACUACACUUGACUUACGUUGAAUCUACAAAUACGUCAAUCCAAACGCCCCCUAAAAUGAGCUAAGUACGAAAGUACAGAAGUGAUAUUUGAAUUUACCUCGCUUAAAAAAAAAAUCAUGAAAGAUU
rnacentral:lncRNA from 1 species